rnacentral:rRNA from 1 species
AGCGGGAAGUAGUUUACUACUUUGCCGGCGAGCGGCGGACGGGUGAGUAAUGUCUGGGAAACUGCCUGAUGGAGGGGGAUAACUACUGGAAACGGUAGCUAAUACCGCAUAACGUCUUCGGACCAAAGUGGGGGACCUUAGGGCCUCACGCCAUCGGAUGUGCCCAGAUGGGAUUAGCUAGUAGGUGGGGUAAUGGCUCACCUAGGCGACGAUCCCUAGCUGGUCUGAGAGGAUGACCAGCCACACUGGAACUGAGACACGGUCCAGACUCCUACGGGAGGCAGCAGUGGGGAAUAUUGCACAAUGGGCGCAAGCCUGAUGCAGCCAUGCCGCGUGUGUGAAGAAGGCCUUCGGGUUGUAAAGCACUUUCAGCGAGGAGGAAGGCCAAUAACUUAAUACGUUGUUGGAUUGACGUUACUCGCAGAAGAAGCACCGGCUAACUCCGUGCCAGCAGCCGCGGUAAUACGGAGGGUGCAAGCGUUAAUCGGAAUUACUGGGCGUAAAGCGCACGCAGGCGGUUUGUUAAGUCAGAUGUGAAAUCCCCGCGCUUAACGUGGGAACUGCAUUUGAAACUGGCAAGCUAGAGUCUUGUAGAGGGGGGUAGAGUUCCAGGUGUAGCGGUGAAAUGCGUAGAGAUCUGGAGGAAUACCGGUGGCGAAGGCGGCCCCCUGGACAAAGACUGACGCUCAGGUGCGAAAGCGUGGGGAGCAAACA